AUUGAACGCUGGCGGCAGGCCUAACACAUGCAAGUCGAGCGGUAGCACAGAGAGCUUGCUCUCGGGUGACGAGCGGCGGACGGGUGAGUAAUGUCUGGGAAACUGCCUGAUGGAGGGGGAUAACUACUGGAAACGGUAGCUAAUACCGCAUAAUGUCGCAAGACCAAAGUGGGGGACCUUCGGGCCUCAUGCCAUCAGAUGUGCCCAGAUGGGAUUAGCUAGUAGGUGGGGUAACGGCUCACCUAGGCGACGAUCCCUAGCUGGUCUGAGAGGAUGACCAGCCACACUGGAACUGAGACACGGUCCAGACUCCUACGGGAGGCAGCAGUGGGGAAUAUUGCACAAUGGGCGCAAGCCUGAUGCAGCCAUGCCGCGUGUGUGAAGAAGGCCUUCGGGUUGUAUGGCACUUUCAGCGGGGAGGAAGGCGGUAAGGUUAAUAACCUUGUCGAUUGACGUUACCCGCAGAAGAAGCACCGGCUAACUCCGUGCCAGCAGCCGCGGUAAUACGGAGGGUGCAAGCGUUAAUCGGAAUUACUGGGCGUAAAGCGCACGCAGGCGGUCUGUCAAGUCGGAUGUGAAAUCCCCGGGCUCAACCUGGGAACUGCAUUCGAAACUGGCAGGCUAGAGUCUUGUAGAGGGGGGUAGAAUUCCAGGUGUAGCGGUGAAAUGCGUAGAGAUCUGGAGGAAUACCGGUGGCGAAGGCGGCCCCCUGGACAAAGACUGACGCUCAGGUGCGAAAGCGUGGGGAGCAAACAGGAUUAGGUACCCUGGUAGUCCACGCCGUAAACGAUGUCGAUUUGGAGGUUGUGCCCUUGAGGCGUGGCUUCCGGAGCUAACGCGUUAAAUCGACCGCCUGGGGAGUACGGCCGCAAGGUUAAAACUCAAAUGAAUUGACGGGGGCCCGCACAAGCGGUGGAGCAUGUGGUUUAAUUCGAUGCAACGCGAAGAACCUUACCUGGUCUUGACAUCCACAGAACUUUCCAGAGAUGGAUUGGUGCCUUCGGGAACUGUGAGACAGGUGCUGCAUGGCUGUCGUCAGCUCGUGUUGUGAAAUGUUGGGUUAAGUCCCGCAACGAGCGCAACCCUUAUCCUUUGUUGCCAGCGGUUAGGCCGGGAACUCAAAGGAGACUGCCAGUGAUAAACUGGAGGAAGGUGGGGAUGACGUCAAGUCAUCAUGGCCCUUACGACCAGGGCUACACACGUGCUACAAUGGCAUAUACAAAGAGAAGCGACCUCGCGAGAGCAAGCGGACCUCAUAAAGUAUGUCGUAGUCCGGAUUGGAGUCUGCAACUCGACUCCAUGAAGUCGGAAUCGCUAGUAAUCGUAGAUCAGAAUGCUACGGUGAAUACGUUCCCGGGCCUUGUACACACCGCCCGUCACACCAUGGGAGUGGGUUGCAAAAGAAGUAGGUAGCUUAACCUUCGGGAGGGCGCUUACCACUUUGUGAUUCAUGACUGGGGUGA
rnacentral:rRNA from 1 species